rnacentral:sRNA from 1 species
CAUGCCCCUUAUACGCUGGGCUACACACGUGCUACAAUGGGUAGAACAGAGAGUCGCAAAGCCGUGAGGUGGAGCUAAUCUCAGAAAACUAUUCUUAGUUCGGAUUGUACUCUGCAACUCGAGUACAUGAAGUUGGAAUCGCUAGUAAUCGCGAAUCAGCAAUGUCGCGGUGAAUACGUUCUCGGGUCUUGUACACACCGCCCGUCACACCACGAGAGUUGGUUGCACCUGAAGUAGCAGGCCUAACCGUAAGGAGGGAUGCUCCGAGGGUGUGAUUAGCGAUUGGGGUGAAGUCGUAACAAGGUAUCCGUACGGGAACGUGCGGAUGGAUCACCUCCUUUCUAAGGAGACAAUGUCUUUCUCUAUUCUAUUGGUAAUGUUCUUACAUUACUUCUGAACAUUGGAAACUAUAUAGUAGAACAAAAAUAACUCUAAACAAUUUCUUAGAGUUAGCUGUCAAAAAAAUAGAUUAAAAUAAUUAAGGGCACACAAAGGAUGCCUAGGUAGUAAGAGCCGAUGAAGGACGUGGUAAGCUGCGAUAAGCCUAG